GGGGAUUUUAUGACGAAAGGCUUCAUAUCCCAUCACACCUUCCGUGAGCCAUCCACUCCCAGGGGAAUAUUUGUCUACAAUUGCAGAAAAAAAAAAGCCAAGAAAAUCUGCAAUAUAUCGCUGUUUCCCAAGUAAGAAAUAUACUUUCCCUCCGAGAAGUCCAUCAGUUAAUAUUAACAAGGAGAAAGAGAAAGAAUAACCUGGCAGGAAGCUCUGAAUUUCCCCCAGACUCGAGUCAAGAGAUCAUCAGGGAAGGAGUCUAGCUGUAAAGUACACCUCUCUUCCUCCGAUGGGAGUGACAACCGGGGUGACUGGAAUCAGAGGGCAGCCUGCUCUCCUUUGGCAAACAAACACCCACUCUGAUGGUCUCAUUGAUUGAUUGAUUGAUGCAUCCACUCCUUUAGCAAAGUCUACAGUUGCAUACAAGCAAGAUCAUAGGAUCGGAAGUCAAAAGAUGCAUGUUGGGCCCAUCAAGACAUGAUUUUUUGAAGUCAAGUCAUCCUGGGAAAUCCUUUACAGUUUUCUUGGCUUUAGCUUUCGUAGCUUAUAUGGAAGAUAGUAAUAGUAAUUGUCGCAAAAAAUAUCAUUUGUAAAAGCAUUUUGUAUACCAGAAAACAUUAUGCAAAGACUUUUUGUUCUCAAAGGCUAGGACUAUGACUAGAAUAUUGUAUAAGUGAAUAAGCAUAUUUUAAGCAUCUAUCUAUGUCCAGAAAUUUGUGGGGAGUUUUGUAGAUAAAAAGACUAAUCUGACAGAGAUUCUGUACUCAAGAAGGUUAAAGCCUAUGAGAAGAAAAUAAUUCAGUCACAGAGAAGGCACAAAUUUAGUCUUAGAAUUUUCUUAAAAUUUUAUAUAAAGUAACAUAUUUGCCAGACAAAGCCAUCAACAUUGU